GCAGACGAGCUGGAAGCGAUAGAAAUUCCAUUAUUUUUGCAUGACAUUGGGCACAAUGAGCAACGAAGAAUGGUUCCAAAAAUAGACAAUUUUGUGGAGGAUGUUGUCCCUCUCUACAGUCUCUCAGAAUUUAGAGGUCAUUUCAGGCUUUCCAAAGAACAAGUGGAGGAUGUCAUUACUACCCUUGGUCCUGUUUAUAUGAAUUUACAACAGACCAAACUUCCACUCACAAACAGUGUUCUUGCCUGCCUUUGGACAUUGGCGAAUCAGGAGUCAUAUCGUGGGGUGGCAGAUAGAUUCAACAUGUCAAAAUCCACUCUUGCCAAGCAUCUCCAUGAGUUUUGUUGCAAUGUGAACCCAUACAUGGCCCACCAC